AGAAAAAUUUGAGGAGAAAAAUAGAGAGAAAAUCGGCCAAGAGGGAGUAAAAUCAACCCUCCAAAUUUCAUCCCCAAAAAUUAUAAUUUUCUAGUAUUCCUACUAAGUCAAGGGUGCUCUACAACAUGGUGGAGUUGUUUUGGAAGUUUGGAGACUUGUUUCAUUGAUUUGGAAGUGAAGAAGUUAGAAGAAAAAUGUACCGACGUUCGUUGUGUUGAGCCGCCUGUUUAGGACAUCUGCUGUGUUAUUGACAAUGCUCCUUUGUUCGGAGCUUGUAUUUUGGUACUGACUCUAUCUCUGUACAUUUGGAUAUGUUGGUCAGGGGUACGACGGGGCCCUGUCCCGUCUUAUGACUAUGCUAUCAUCUAUAGAGGUCUGUAGACAGAGUUAUGUUGUGAGUUUUGUAUAUAUGGUUUGGAUUUUGUGUGUUUUGCGACAGCCUAUUGAUCCUCGUGCCUACAUCUAUUUUUGCGAUCUAUUUAGCAAUCUUUUCUAAUCACUACAUUUGUUUAUUCAGAAAAAAAAAUAGACUAAUUUGGGAUAAGGGUACGUUUGGGUGCCCAACUCGGGCACCAGUCGCGGCCUACGGGGUUGGAUCGUGACAGUCAGUUUUACAAUUUGUUUCUUAUGUCUCCUCUCCUUUAUCGUUGUUGUCAAAUACUUGUUAUUUGAAUCUCUCAAUUUAAUCCACAUAGUCCUAGAUUUUUAUUGGUGAAUGCUAUCCUUAAUAUUUGUCCAUUUCUCCAGUUGGAUUAGAAGUCCUUUCUUUUCCAGUGCCAUAACAUCAGUGUAGUCUGAAGAAAGCUUCAACUACGUAAGUUUUAGGAUAUUUUUGAUGAUUUAGAUCUUCUCUAUAGCUCCCUUGUAAUUAUUAUUAUUCAACAUUUUUAAGUGUGGCUUCAACUGUUUCAACCUUUUUCAUAUACAUUUUAACUUAUUCCCAUGUAAUCUGCCAGUCCAUCUUCUUUGUAAUGCAGGGACAAAUGUCUCAUGGGUUGCCCAUAUAUUGAAGAAUUCAAAUCGAGUUUUGCUACUGGAUGAAGUGAGGUUCAUAUCCAGAAGCAUAGACUUUUGUAGGUUGUGAGCCCGGACCUGCUUGAUCUUCUAGCAUUUUCUACCACUUUCGAGGCUAUCAUUCUGAGUGUUGAGGUAGCUGUUACAUCCAUCCAGCGGACACCUCUUACCCUUUUAUUAUGUUUUAGUCUUAUUCUAGAGAUAAAGACAUUAUGACUGUAUUCUCUUUCGUACUUCGGUAAUGUAUUAGUGGCUUGCAUACGUGACAAUCAGUCUUGGAGAUUUUGAGAUUAUUUAUUUAUUUUUGACUAAGUUAAA